UAAUAUUACUUUGAUAAAUAUUCACCUUCCUUCUUUAAUGUGCAAGCUAUCCUCCCACUCUCCCUAAGGGAGGCAGCCAGCUUAGUCUCAGAGUCAGAGUCUCAUGAUAGUUUACGUGUAAGUUUCAGAUGUGCCUCUCUUAAUCCAGAGACUAAACUCACACACACCUAUCCUUCAGUGAAGGAAGAGGGACAGGAUAACCACUGUGAACACUCCUGUUUGAAAAUAGAAAGAUUGGGAAGCUGUGGUAAUCUCUACAUCAGUGAGCAGUAAUGAAUGACUCCUUCCAGUGGUCUCCUCGUUUGGUCUGCUCCUCUUGAAUCUGAUCUGGCCCCGUGGCUUGCUUUAAUAGAAUAGAAUGUGACACACGUGCUAUUAUGUUACCCCUGGCCUAAGACUUAAAAGGACGUGACUGCUUCCAAUUUUGUACUCUUAGGGUUUGGCCACCAUAGAAGAAGUCUGAUUAUGCUGAGACUACCAGACUCUUAAGGAAGCCUAAGUGAGCCACUUGAAGAUGUCACACGAAGGAGGAUCAAAGUGCUUUGAUUGACAGCCCCACAUGAAAUCCCAGCCUCCAGGCAGCACCAUCUGCCACUGUCUUGGACAUUCCAGACCAGUUGAGCCUCCAGAUGACUGCAGCCACAGCUCAACCCACGUAAGGAAGAGCUACCCAGGAAAUGUUUUCCACCUGCCAUAAGAACAGUAGCAAUAUCACUGACCCCAUGAAAAUGAGAAGACACAAAUUAGCUGAAGAAGCAUCAGCAUGUUUUUAAAAAUUCACAGGAUUAGGAAGUUCCCCACACCCUCUCAUCAAGAACAGUGAUGCCAGAGUGGUCCAUCUGGUGUGUCAGGCUGCAGGCUGGUACCCAGAGCCUGAGGCAAGCUGGGGAGUUCCCUAAAGACAGAAUUUAAAGCCACACUCUGAAAACAACAGAGCAGGCGGAAACAGCCUGUUCUCCACUGAGUCUUCAGUCCUGGUAGCCGUGACCUCUUUGGUCCUCAGCCCCAGGCUCAACGAGAAGAAGGAAAUAACUAUUUCUGUUAUCAGAUCUGGCCAUAGGCAAUUACAAAGUCUUUCUGGACCUGAAACAUAGACUGCCAGAUAUUUCUCCAGCAAAGAUGGGUUUAUUCAGGAUCAGCAGAGAAUUGCAAUCUGGGAUCUGCAACCAUGGCGAGCCACAUGCAAGUCCCCACACAGCAAAAGAAGAAAAGGGGAAAAGGAAGUUGGGAGGGCUGCAGUUAACAAAGAGUCAGUGGUUUUCUUUGGCUGAGUCCUUGCCAGGAAAGGAGAGGAGACUUCUUCCUCUUGGGCCCUGCAACGGCGCUGGGUGUGAGAGCUCCCCUUUCUGGUCUCCCAACUCUAUUUAAUGGAGGUUUCUGUUUAUUAAUUUUUUAUAGCUUUAUCUGGCUGCCCUCCCCACACCAGACUUGGAGCACAGCCUGUGUAUUGCAGUCUCUGAAAGGAAUUGCAGUCAGUGACGCAGGUCCACCCCACCCCUACCCCCGU